AACGAACGCUGGCGGCAGGCUUAACACAUGCAAGUCGAACGCACCUUUCGGGGUGAGUGGCCGACGGGUGAGUAACGCGUGGGAAUCUACCCUUCUCUACGGGAUAGCUCCGGGAAACUGGAAUUAAUACCGUAUACGUCCUGAGGGAGAAAGAUUUAUCGGGGAAGGAUGAGCCCGCGUUGGAUUAGCUAGUUGGUGGGGUAAAGGCCUACCAAGGCGACGAUCCAUAGCUGGUCUAAGAGGAUGAUCAGCCACAUUGGGACUGAGACACGGCCCAAACUCCUACGGGAGGAAGCAGUGGGGAAUAUUGGACAAUGGGCGCAAGACUGAUCCAGCCAUGCCGUGAGAGUGAUGAAGGCCCGAGGGUUGUAAAGCUCUUUCAGUGGGGACGAUAAUGACGGUACCCACAGAAGAAGCCCCGGCUAACUUCGUG
rnacentral:rRNA from 1 species